rnacentral:rRNA from 1 species
GACGAACGCUGGCGGCGUGCUUAACACAUGCAAGUCGAACGGAAAGGCCCUGCUUUUGUGGGGUGCUCGAGUGGCGAACGGGUGAGUAACACGUGAGUAACCUGCCCUUGACUUUGGGAUAACUUCAGGAAACUGGGGCUCAUACCGGAUAGGAGCUCCUUCUGCAUGGUGGGGGUUGGAAAGUUUCGGCGUUUGGGGAUGGACUCGCGGCUUAUCAGCUUGUUGGUGGGGUAGUGGCUUACCAAGGCUUUGACGGGUAGCCGGCCUGAGAGGGUGACCGGCCACAUUGGGACUGAGAUACGGCCCAGAAUCCUACGGGAGGCAGCAGUGGGGAAUAUUGCACAAUGGGCGGAAGCCUGAUGCAGAAACGCCGCGUGCGGGAUGACGGCCUUCGGGUUGUAAACCGCUUUCGCCUGUGACGAAGCGUGAGUGACGGUAAUGGGUAAAGAAGCACCGGCUAACUACGUG